UACGUAGGGGGCGAGCGUUGUCCGGAAUUACUGGGCGUAAAGAGCUCGUAGGUGGUUUGUCGCGUUGUUCGUGAAAACUCACAGCUCAACUGUGGGCGUGCGGGCGAUACGGGCAGACUUGAGUACUGCAGGGGAGACUGGAAUUCCUGGUGUAGCGGUGGAAUGCGCAGAUAUCAGGAGGAACACCGGUGGCGAAGGCGGGUCUCUGGGCCGAUACUGACGCUGAGGAGCGAAAGCGUGGGGAGCAAACAGG
rnacentral:rRNA from 1 species